UACAGAGGGUGCAAGCGUUGUUCGGAAUUAUUGGGCGUAAAGCGCGUGUAGGCGGCUUUGCAAGUCGGGUGUGAAAGCCCUCAGCUCAACUGAGGAAGUGCGCCCGAAACUGCAGAGCUUGAGUGCCGGAGAGGGUGGCGGAAUUCCCCAAGUAGAGGUGAAAUUCGUAGAUAUGGGGAGGAACACCGGUGGCGAAGGCG
rnacentral:rRNA from 1 species